UUGAUCCUGGCUCAGAAUCAACGCUGGCGGCGUGCCUAAUACAUGCAAGUCGUACGCGAAGACCCCGCAAGGGGUUUGUAGCGUGGCAAACGGGUGAGUUACGCGUGGGCGACCUGCCUUCGAGUGGGGGAUAACCUUCCGAAAGGAGGUCUAAUACCGCAUGACAUACCGUGUUUAGAUACAUGGAUAUCAAAGCCGGUGAUCGCAAGACCUGGCGCUUGAAGAGGGGCCUACGUCCGAUUAGCUAGUUGGUGAGGUAACGGCUCACCAAGGCGACGAUCGGUAUCCGGCCUGAGAGGUCGGACGGACACACUGGGACUGAGACACGGCCCAGACUCCUACGGGAGGCUGCAGUAGGGAAUUGUUCGCAAUGGGCGCAAGCCUGACGACGCAACGCCGUGUGGAGGAUGAAGACCUUCGGGUCGUAAACUCCUUUCGACCGAGAUGAAUACCUGCCGGUUUAAUACACCGGCAGGCUGACAGUAUCGAGGGAAGAAGCUCCGGCUAACUCCGUGCCAGCAGCCGCGGUAAUAAGGU
rnacentral:rRNA from 1 species